GAGAAUAGCACUGGCCUGGGCACCCAUGUUCUCACACGGCCACCCUCCUCAGGGCUCUGGGGGCUUCCUCCAGUCUGAGCCAGCCAGGGCACUGAUGCCUGGCUCCAGGACGCACAUGGAAGGUGGGCUGCCCUCCCAAAAGAUGACGUCGUGGAUCCCCGAAAACUGUCCCGAAGGUCACUGCCAGGGAAAGCCUCAGCUGCUUCUGGCCCCCGCCCAUCAUGGAAGCAGUUCCAAAGCCCAGGCCGGACAAGACCUGCAAGCCUGGCCAGGGGUCCGCUCACACCAGUUCGAAGCCUUCUGUGCAGGGGGCCUGGCCCCUGGCUGGAGCCUGCUGGUCCAGGGACACUCUGAUUCUGGAGAGGACAAGUAAGGGUCACCACCCUCCCCAGGGGCUCCCUCUCAGCCUUGGGUGGGGUGACUCUCCAGUCAUUUGCUGUCCCACAACCCCCCCAUGACGCCCCGCAGGUUUGAGAUCAACUUCCUGUCCGAGGCGGGGGACAUUGCCUUCCACGUCAAGCCCCGGUUCUCCAGCACCACCGUGGUGGGCAACACCUUCCAGGGGCGCCUCUGGGGCCAGGAGGAGGUGUCCAGCGUCUUCCCGCUGGUGCUGGGGGAGCCC
rnacentral:lncRNA from 1 species